GAUGAACGCUGGCGGCGUGCCUAAUACAUGCAAGUCGAGCGAACAGACGAGGAGCUUGCUCCUCUGACGUUAGCGGCGGACGGGUGAGUAACACGUGGAUAACCUACCUAUAAGACUGGGAUAACUUCGGGAAACCGGAGCUAAUACCGGAUAAUAUAUUGAACCGCAUGGUUCAAUAGUGAAAGACGGCUUUGCUGUCACUUUUAGAUGGAUCCGCGCCGCAUUAGCUAGUUGGUAAGGUAACGGCUUACCAAGGCAACGAUGCGUAGCCGACCUGAGAGGGUGAUCGGCCACACUGGAACUGAGACACGGUCCAGACUCCUACGGGAGGCAGCAGUAGGGAAUCUUCCGCAAUGGGCGAAAGCUUGACGGAGCAACGCCGCGUGAGUGAUGAAGGUCUUCGGAUCGUAAAACUCUGUUAUUAGGGAAGAACAAAUGUGUAAGUAACUAUGCACGUCUUGACGGUACCUAAUCAGAAAGCCACGGCUAACUACGUG
rnacentral:rRNA from 1 species